rnacentral:rRNA from 1 species
NNNNNNNNNNNNNNNNNNNCCGGCGAUGUCCGAAUGGGGAAACCCAGUGCAAUUCGUUGCACUAUCGUUAACUGAAUACAUAGGUUAACGAGGCGAACCGGGGGAACUGAAACAUCUAAGUACCCCGAGGAAAAGAAAUCAACCGAGAUUCCCCCAGUAGCGGCGAGCGAACGGGGAGCAGCCCAGAGUCUGAAUCAGCUUGUGUGUUAGUGGAACGGUCUGGAAAGUCCGACGGUACAGGGUGAUAGUCCCGUACACCAAAAUGCACAGGUUGUGAACUCGAAGAGUAGGGCGGGACACGUGGUAUCCUGUCUGAAUAUGGGGGGACCAUCCUCCAAGGCUAAAUACUCCUGACUGACCGAUAGUGAACCAGUACCGUGAGGGAAAGGCGAAAAGAACCCCGGCGAGGGGAGUGAAAAAGAACCUGAAACCGUGUACGUACAAGCAGUGGGAGCACCUUCGGGUGUGACUGCGUACCUUUUGUAUAAUGGGUCAGCGACUUAUAUUCUGUAGCAAGGUUAACCGUAUAGGGGAGCCGCAGGGAAACCGAGUCUUAACUGGGCGUUAAGUUGCAGGGUAUAGACCCGAAACCCGGUGAUCUAGCCAUGGGCAGGUUGAAGGUUGGGUAACACUAACUGGAGGACCGAACCGACUAAUGUUGAAAAAUUAGCGGAUGACUUGUGGCUGGGGGUGAAAGGCCAAUCAAACCGGGAGAUAGCUGGUUCUCCCCGAAAGCUAUUUAGGUAGCGCCUCGUGAAUUCAUCUUCGGGGGUAGAGCACUGUUUCGGCUAGGGGGUCAUCCCGACUUACCAACCCGAUGCAAACUACGAAUACCGAAGAAUGUUAUCACGGGAGACACACGGCGGGUGCUAACGUCCGUCGUGAAGAGGGAAACAACCCAGACCGCCAGCUAAGGUCCCAAAGUCAUGGUUAAGUGGGAAACGAUGUGGGAAGGCACAGACAGCCAGGAUGUUGGCUUAGAAGCAGCCAUCAUUUAAAGAAAGCGUAAUAGCUCACUGGUCGAGUCGGCCUGCGCGGAAGAUGUAACGGGGCUAAACCAUGCACCGAAGCUGCGGCAGCGACACUAUGUGUUGUUGGGUAGGGGAGCGUUCUGUAAGCCUGCGAAGGUGACCUGUGAGGGUUGCUGGAGGUAUCAGAAGUGCGAAUGCUGACAUAAGUAACGAUAAAGCGGGUGAAAAGCCCGCUCGCCGGAAGACCAAGGGUUCCUGUCCAACGUUAAUCGGGGCAGGGUGAGUCGACCCCUAAGGCGAGGCCGAAAGGCGUAGUCGAUGGGAAACAGGUUAAUAUUCCUGUACUUGGUGUUACUGCGAAGGGGGGACGGAGAAGGCUAUGUUAGCCGGGCGACGGUUGUCCCGGUUUAAGCAUGUAGGCUGGUUAUCCAGGCAAAUCCGGAUAAUCAAGGCUGAGGUGUGAUGACGAGGCACUACGGUGCUGAAGUAACAAAUGCCCUGCUUCCAGGAAAAGCCUCUAAGCAUCAGGUAACAUCAAAUCGUACCCCAAACCGACACAGGUGGUCAGGUAGAGAAUACCAAGGCGCUUGAGAGAACUCGGGUGAAGGAACUAGGCAAAAUGGUGCCGUAACUUCGGGAGAAGGCACGCUGGUGUGUAGGUGAAGCCCCUGCGGGUGGAGCUGAGACCAGUCGAAGAUACCAGCUGGCUGCAACUGUUUAUUAAAAACACAGCACUGUGCAAACACGAAAGUGGACGUAUACGGUGUGACGCCUGCCCGGUGCCGGAAGGUUAAUUGAUGGGGUUAUCCGUAAGGAGAAGCUCUUGAUCGAAGCCCCGGUAAACGGCGGCCGUAACUAUAACGGUCCUAAGGUAGCGAAAUUCCUUGUCGGGUAAGUUCCGACCUGCACGAAUGGCGUAAUGAUGGCCAGGCUGUCUCCACCCGAGACUCAGUGAAAUUGAACUCGCUGUGAAGAUGCAGUGUACCCGCGGCAAGACGGAAAGACCCCGUGAACCUUUACUAUAGCUUGACACUGAACAUUGAGCCUUGAUGUGUAGGAUAGGUGGGAGGCUUUGAAGCGUGGACGCCAGUCUGCGUGGAGCCAACCUUGAAAUACCACCCUUUAAUGUUUGAUGUUCUAACGUUGGCCCCUGACCGGGGUUGCGGACAGUGUCUGGUGGGUAGUUUGACUGGGGCGGUCUCCUCCCAAAGCGUAACGGAGGAGCACGAAGGUUAGCUAAUCCUGGUCGGACAUCAGGAGGUUAGUGCAAUGGCAUAAGCUAGCUUGACUGCGAGCGUGACGGCGCGAGCAGGUGCGAAAGCAGGUCAUAGUGAUCCGGUGGUUCUGAAUGGAAGGGCCAUCGCUCAACGGAUAAAAGGUACUCCGGGGAUAACAGGCUGAUACCGCCCAAGAGUUCAUAUCGACGGCGGUGUUUGGCACCUCGAUGUCGGCUCAUCACAUCCUGGGGCUGAAGUAGGUCCCAAGGGUAUGGCUGUUCGCCAUUUAAAGUGGUACGCGAGCUGGGUUUAGAACGUCGUGAGACAGUUCGGUCCCUAUCUGCCGUGGGCGCUGGAGAAUUGAGGGGGGCUGCUCCUAGUACGAGAGGACCGGAGUGGACGCAUCACUGGUGUUCGGGUUGUCAUGCCAAUGGCACUGCCCGGUAGCUAAAUGCGGAAGAGAUAAGUGCUGAAAGCAUCUAAGCACGAAACUUGCCCCGAGAUGAGUUCUCCCUGAGACUUUAAGUCUCCUGAAGGAACGUUAAAGACGAUGACGUUGAUAGGCCGGGUGUGUAAGCGCAGCGAUGCGUUGAGCUAACCGGUACUAAUGAACCGUGAGGCUUAACCUU